rnacentral:rRNA from 1 species
CAGUCGCCGCGGUAAUACGGAGGAUCCGAGCGUUAUCCGGAAUCAUUGGGUUUAAAGGGUCCGUAGGCGGUUUAGUAAGUCAGUGGUGAAAGCCCAUCGCUCAACGGUGGAAUGGCCAUUGAUACUGCUGAACUUGAAUUAUUAGGAAGUAACUAGAAUAUGUAGUGUAGCGGUGAAAUGCUUAGAGAUUACAUGGAAUACCAAUUGCGAAGGCAGGUUACUACUAAUUGAUUGACGCUGAUGGACGAAAGCGUGGGGAGCGAACAGGAUUAGAUACCCCUGUAGUCCCUGUCUCUUAUAC